GGGGAUUUAGCUCAGUGGUAGAGCGCUUGCCUAGGAAGCGCUAGGCCCUGGGUUCGGUCCCCAGCUCCA
rfam:Rattus norvegicus chromosome 1, whole genome shotgun sequence.